rnacentral:rRNA from 1 species
UACGGGGGGAGCAAGCGUUGUUCGGAUUUACUGGGCGUAAAGGGCUCGUAGGCGGCCAACUAAGUCCGACGUGAAAUCCCCAGGCUUAACCUGGGAACUGCGUCGGAUACUGGAUGGCUUGAAUCCGGGAGAGGGAUGCGGAAUUCCAGGUGUAGCGGUGAAAUGCGUAGAUAUCUGGAGGAACACCGGUGGCGAAGGCGGCAUCCUGGACCGGUAUUGACGCUGAUGAGCGAAAGCCAGGGGAGCAAACGGG